CAUUUAUAUUAUGACUAUUGAGUAAAUUUUUCCAAACAUGGCAAACCUGUACAUGUACAUGCUGUUUAUAUACAUAUUACUACAGUUCAAUGACUCAAGUUUUAAAUGCAUAAGCUUAAGGUCAUAACAGAAUUUAAACUAACUAUCAUAAUUGUAUGAACAUCAUGAUGAAUAUUUACAUUCUCUCAAAGAGUUUUAAUUUUACUUAGCUAAUACAGAAGAUGAUGGAUUCCCCAACAGAAAUCUUGAUGAUCGAACGAUUAAGGUGAAAAAAUUGAAGAAUUCCAUCAAUUGUUACAGAGAAUCGAUUUGCAAGCAGAAACAGGUGCUCAAAGAUAAGGGAAUACAACAGCCAUCCAUGAACCUUUACAUGUAAAGUAAGUAGCUGUUCAUGAUGCUUAUAGGCAUAUGCAAUCUAGUCUGGGCAUGUAAAACAGCAGCUGGUUCUAUUUUGAAAAUCUACAAAAUAGAGCUAAGGUCCUUUAAGCCAAGAAACUGCUAGUGUCCGAAGAGGACAAUUUAAGACAGGACAUGAAAAUUGAUUUAAUGUCAAGUUGGAACAGUGAUUCUGUAAAUAAACUCGCCUGAUCACAAGACCUCGGAUUUGACUGAAUCUUACAUGGAUAGACCAAAGUCAUUUACUAGACUGUAAAUACUAGAGGCAGCUGAAAGCACAAGGCACAAAGCUGAGGUCCAAGUAAAUCAGAGAGGCCUUGUCACAAGAAAUGUACAGAACUUGCAUGUUUUUUUUCCUUAUGGGUAUAUGACAAAAUAUUGAGAUAUAUGUCAAUGAAAAUUACUUUGAAUUUAAAAAAGGGCCAAUUCAAUGGUACACUUUUGGAAUUUGCAAGAACAAAAAUACCUUCAUGUUUACUUUUGAAUUAUAGUUGACAAUCUUCACUUUAAGGGGAACCUCUGAAAAUAAGUCCAAUGGAGGGGUUUGGUUUAUUGAAUUCAAUUAUUUUUUAAAGAAAAACAUGAAAUAUUGCUCUUUAAUUUCAACAUUUGCAUUUUGCUACAUGUAUUAAAAUUAUUUACAAGUGCAGCAUAUCCAUGACAUCAGAUUAUGUUAUUGUGUUUGGUUAAGCUACAUAUUUCUUUUUACUUAAACUUUCUGUUGACUUUACUAGUUAAUAAAAUGCUGAAUAAUAAUUUGAGUGUGGCUCAUUCGAGUGUCUAGUAUUUCCUGUCAAUUUUUUUGAUGAUUUUACCAUAUUAUUUAUAAUCCCUUGGUCAAAGGGAGAUAACUUAUUGUAUUUUCACAUUAAAAUGCUGAAUAAUAAUUUGAGUGUGGCUCAUUCCAGUGUCUAGUAUUUGCUGUCAAUUUUUUGGAUGAUUUUACCAUAUUAUUUAUAAUCGCUUGGUCAAAGGGAGAUAACUUAUUGUAUUUUCACAUUAAAAUGCUGAAUAAUAAUUUGAGUGGCUCAUUCCAGUGUCUAGUAUUUGCUGUCAAUUUUUUGGAUGAUUUUACCAUAUUAUUUAUAAUCGCUUGGUCAAAGGGAGAUAACUUUUUGUAUUUUCACAUUAAAUCAUCUGCGAAGAGGAUUAUGUAAAAUGUGAAUUGUUGAAAACUAAUUUUAUGGUUCAAUAAAAUCAAAAUAAGUUACUGCCAUUCAUUAUAAAUAAAUUUCUAUCAAAAAUAAGGCUCAAAGAACUUUUUAUAUUACUAAUAUUAACAAUAACAAUGUACACACAUGUUGAAGUGUUAAUACACAACGUCAGAGUGGGUGUAUCACCAUAAAAUAUAAACAUUGAAAAUAAAACUGAUACUUUUAACUAAUCAGGAGACAGUUAAUACACCAAAUAUAUUU